UCAAUAUGAAAGGUCCCUCUGAUAAGCCUGGCUGAGUCAGUCUCUCUCAGUGGAUCUGUCUGUCAGCAUGGAGACUACAGGGGUGGAGGGAUCCACUGUAGUGAGUGUUCUCCUCUUCGUUCUUUUCCCAUUUGAAUGUGGCUUCCUCUCCUUCAUUUGCAAUAUGUUGCGUGCCAGGCCAGCCUAUUGUCUUCAGAUAGGUGGUCACGCCUACGCAGAUGCUCGUCCCUCAACCGACCCAUCGGUCAGUGCAGGCAAAAUCGUUAUGCUAUCGGAUGAAAGACGAGGCGAGCCAGGGAUUUACUUCCAUUAAUCCAAAGUUAACAUAGCAGGAUAAAGAGAAGAAGAGACAAGAGGACGCCAUCUUGAGAACAUUCAGCAAUAAUUUAUUUUCCUAAUCUCAAUAACCACCAAGUCUUCUCAUCUGGACAUUUCAUCAUCAGUUGCCAACAACACCAUUUAGAAAAAUGUACAGUUACUAUACAAAUUCUUAAUAGAAAAAAUAAUAAAUUAACUGUUGAAUUCUGUCUUUUUUUGUGUGAAUUCCACAUUGUUUUUUUCCUACAACACCUUUUUGUCAGGUUAACGUUGAAGAGAACAAAUCAAAUCAUGUUACAUGCUCUAUGGUCUGGUGGAGUGGUGUCUUACUGAACUGGCGCCUAAAGGAACGGUUUCCAUUCUGCACAACUGGUAUUAAAACUAUUGACAACAAUGAGGAGAGUCUAUAUCCUAUGUGACAAAGCAGUAACUGGUCAUCAUGUAGCACCUGAAAGGAUUCUUACUAUGUUACUCUGUUAGAACUUGGAAACAAUGUUAAAAACUCCACA